rfam:Clostridium fallax strain DSM 2631 genome assembly, contig: Ga0131101_103
GAUUUCCCAUAGCGUAAGCUAGUAAGAUCCCUUGAAGAACACAAGGUUGAUAGGUCAGAGAUGUAAGCAUGGUAACAUGUUCAGUUGACUGAUACUAAUAGAUCGAGGGCUUGACCAA